GGUCGGGUACAGAGGGUUAGGCCAAGCCGCGAGGCGGAGCCAAUCCCACAAAGCCGAAUCGUAGUCCGGAUUGUUCUCUGCAACUCGAGAGCAUGAAGUCGGAAUCGCUAGUAAUCGCAGGUCAGCAUACUGCGGUGGAAUAACGUUUCCUCGGGUCUU
rnacentral:rRNA from 1 species